rnacentral:rRNA from 1 species
UACAGAGGGUGCAAGCGUUGCUCGGAAUUAUUGGGCGUAAAGGGUAGGUAGGUGGUCUUAUUUGUCUGAGGUGAAAGCCUUGAGCUUAACUCAAGAAGUGCCUCAGAGACGGUAGGACUGGAGUCCUAGAGAGGGUCGUGGAAUUCCCGGUGUAGCGGUGAAAUGCGUAGAGAUCGGGAGGAACACCAGAGGCGAAAGCGACGACCUGGAUAGGUACUGACACUCAACUACGAAAGCGUGGGGAGCAAACAGG